GAUGAACGCUGGCGGCAUGCCUAACACAUGCAAGUCGAGCGAGCAGAUCCCUUCGGGGUGAAGCUAGCGGCGGACGGGUGAGUAACACGUGGGCAACCUGCCUCAUAGAGGGGAAUAGCCUUUCGAAAGGAAGAUUAAUACCGCACAAGAUUGUAGCUUCGCAUGAAGUAGCAAUUAACGGAGCAGUCCGCUAUGGGAUGGGCCCGCGGCGCAUUAGCUAGUUGGUGAGGUAACGGCUCACCAAGGCGACGAUGCGUAGCCGACCUGAGAGGGUGAUCGGCCACAUUGGAACGGAGACACGGACCAGACUCCUACGGGAGGCAGCAGUGGGGAAUAUUGCACAAUGGGGGAAACCCUGAUGCAGCAAUGCCGCGUGAGUGAUGACGGCCUUCGGGUUGUAAAGCUCUGUCUUCGGGGACGAUAAUGACGGUACCCGAGGAGGAAGCCACGGCUAACUACGUGCCAGCAGCCGCCGUAA
rnacentral:rRNA from 1 species